rnacentral:misc_RNA from 1 species
GUGAAUCAUCAAAUUUUUGAACGCAAAUUGCACUCUCUUCGGAGAGUAUGCCUGUUUGAGGGUCAGCCUAAAAAAAAAUCCACCUAGUCGCUUUUUCGCGGUGACAUUCGUUGGGAAUUUGGUUCUCUUUAACCUUUGGGUUUUAAGCGGCUUAAUAUUUUCUUUACGAUUCCCUGAACGUUUUUUAGAUUUUCUUUUUACCCGUUUAAGGUAAACCAUCUUUUAUAAAC